rnacentral:rRNA from 1 species
UACGUAGGGGGCAAGCGUUAUCCGGAUUUACUGGGUGUAAAGGGGGCGCAGACGGCGAUGCAAGCCAGGAGUGAAAGCCCGGGGCCCAACCCCGGGACUGCCCUUGGAACUGCGUGGCUGGAGUGCAGGAGGGGCAGGCGGAAUUCCUGGUGUAGCGGUGAAAUGCGUAGAUAUCAGGAGGAACACCGGUGGCGAAGGCGGCCUGCUGGACAGCAACUGACGCUGAGGCGCGAAAGCGUGGGGAGCAAACAGG